CGGAUGUGUGCAUUAUCUAACCGGAGUAAGGGGGGAGGUGAGCAGUGCAACGGAUGCGACGUCUGACUAUUGUGAGUGGGUCAUCCGGACUGAUGAAAACAGGUUAAUACUGAUCAAUUUUGAUGUCGGGCAGUGGCGCCGAGGUUCUCACAACUGUUCCGCUACCAUUGUGACUUUCCAUGAUGGAAGUUCAGCAAACAGCAAUAUCAUCGACACAUUCUGCGGAGAUUCUGAGGAAGCAGAGCCAGCCAUUCCAGACAUCUCCACGGCUAGUACCGGUAAUCAGCUACGACUUGUUAUCAACCACGGCAAUCUAGCUCGGCACAGGACUGAGUUCGAGCUGACAUUCACCACGAGAGAAAUAGAGACAGAGCCAGUUUUCGAUGAAAGAACCUUCGUCCCGCAAACAACACGAGAAUUCAACAGGUUUACAGCUACGGUAA